rnacentral:rRNA from 1 species
GGGUGAUAGCCCCGUAGUCAACAAGAUAAUAAUCCUAGCUGUUCCAGAGUAGCGGGGAUUGGAAAUUCCUCGUGAAGAUCGGAGACGGAUAACUCCGAACCCUAAAUAUUACCCUAGAGCGAUAGAGCACUAGUACCGUGAGGGAAAGGUGAAAAGUCCGCCGAGAGGCGUGUGAAAAGUUCCUGAAAUCAUACGGUGACACGAUUUUGUGGCUCGAAAGCGUAGAGUCUCUUCGAAGGAAACGUUGGCAACGACGAAAACGAGAAGAGAUGAGCGGAGUCACAUGUUCCGUCUUGAAACACGGGUCAGGGAGUUUAUCUUUGUGGCAAGCUUAAGGAGUUCAACUCCGUAGGCAUAGCGAAAGCAAAUGUCCGCAGCGCAAGCGAGGGACAUGGUUCUAAUCAGCCAGAGUCACAAGGGUAAUACUAGAAAGCUGACGAUCUUGGCGUGGUCAGACUGAAGUGUGGCGAAAGCUACAUGGAAGGUCGAGUGGGUUCUCAAGUGCAAUUGGUUCCGUUGAACUGCGUCAAGUGGCAAAAGACCAAUCAAGUCAGCCGAUAGCUAGUUCCUGUAGAAGUGGACCACAGUCCAGUCUCAUCCGAGGUCGUUAAUGUUGUAGGGCACUGAUCGGGUUACCUUUAGAGUAAAAUCUGGAGGCCCCUUUCAAACCACGAAUGCAUUAACACUGUAGACGAUGGGAAACGGCGUCACUGGGGUAAGCUUAGUGCGCGAUAGACGAACAAGUCUAACUUAGAUUAAGGCCCCAAAAUGCUAGCCAAACGUUAAACAGAAGGAGGUCGGAGGACAGAGACAGUUGGAAGGUAGGCUCAGAAACAGCCAUCCUCUAACAAGUACGUAAUAGUUUACCAAUUAAGUCCUCGGGCUCCGAAAAUGGACGGGGCUGAGCUAGCUGCCGAUAUCUAAGCAAACAUCCACUGAUGUUUUGAGUAUGCAGGCGUCUUCCCUGGGCAGAAGCUGGGUGUUGACAUCCAGUGGACCGAGGAAGAGCGCUAAUCCUGAUGAUAGUAACGCAAGAUGAGUGAGAAUCUCAUCCGCCGAAAACACCAGGGUUCCUGGUCAACGAUCGUCGAGCCAGGGUUAGUCGGGAUCUAAGGUUGAGCUUAAUUUGCGAAAACCGAAAGAGAAACAGGUUAAUAUUCCUGUACCUUAUCCAUACGCUAAGCGGCAACGUUAAGCUGCCAAGCAGACACAUCGGGAUAGGAGGUGUAGAGCUGUCGCUCUAUCUAACUGUAUAAAUCCGUGGAGUUAUAGUAAAUAUGAGAAACGGACGAAAGCAGGAAUGGCCUGGCACAAGUGCCGGGGUACCUUCAAGUUCUGGUGUCAGGGAAAAUGCGUGGCAGAAGGAUUGGAUAAGCCCGUACCAAGAUCCGACACAGGUGUUGUAAGGUGAGUAGCCUAAGGCGUUUUCCAUGAAAUCAUCCCUAGGGAAUUCGGCAAAUUGGUCCCGUAACUUCGGGAAAAGGGAUGGGUGUAGUUUUCAGUAACCCUGGGAACAGCACCUCGCAGAAACCAAGACCAGCCGACUGUUUAAUAAAAACAUAGCAGACCGCGAGUCCGAAAGGAUUAGUACGGUGUGUGAAUUCUGGCCAGUGCCAGGUAGUGAAAGCCCUUAACAGGGGCCUAAGCCCUGGUAAACGCCGGGAGUAACUAUAACUCUCUUAAGGUAGCCAAAUGCCUUGUCGGGUAAGUUCCGACGUGCUUGAACGAAGCAACGAGCUGGUCACUGUCCCAAGGAUGGGUGGAGUGAAGUCACAAUUGCCGUCGAACAGUACGGCGCCUUCAUAUGGCAAAAGAAGACCCCGUAGAGCUUUACUGCAGUCUGCACCUGUUUAAUCGGCAUUUGUACAGAGUGUAUGCGGGAGUCUGCGAAACUACCUCUCCGGGGGUAGUGGAGACAACAAUGGAACACCGCAUGCGAAUACUGGUUAAACUUAUCCAAUUUCGGAGACACGUGUAGAUGGGCAGUUGUGCUGGGGUGGCAAGGUCCCGAAAAAAUAACAGGACCGCCCAAAGAUGACCUCAGUGGCGGCAGAAACGUCAUGAAGAGUGUAAUGGCAAAAGGUCGUCUGAUAGUGAUUCUAACAAAAGGAAUCGCUAGCUGGAAACAGGGGCAUAACGAACCUCUGACGUUUAUUAUUUGAAACGCAGAGCCAACAGAAAAGUUACCUCGGGGGUAACAGAGUUGUCGCGCGCGAGAGCUCACAUUGACCGCGCGGCUUGCUUCCUCGAUGUCGGCUCUUCCUAUCCUGGCCAUGCAGAAGUGGCCAAGGGUGGGGCUGUUCGCCCAUUAAAAGGGAACGUGAGCUGGGUUUAGACCGUCGUGAGACAGGUUGGACUUUCUGUAUAUGAAGUGUUGAUAGACUGAUAGUAAUCUCAAUUCAGUACGAGAGGAACUAUUGGGAGGAGCCUCUGGUUUACCGGUUGUCCGAUAGGGCAUUCGCCGGGCAGCUACGCUUUAAGUGGUAAGUGCUGAAAGCAUCUAAGCACGAAACAUAACUAAAAACGAGUCUAUCAUUUCGUUUUCGCAUUCGAUUGCAUACGGGACUGGCGACAGUAACGUAUAAACGAAAAAGGGUGCCGAUAGAAGAUCGGUUUGAUAGAAGGGUCGUGUACGCGCCAAGGUUCGCCGAGGUGCUUAGCGAGCCCUCACUAAAAGCCCGAGUACGCUGGCU